AACCUGCGGAGGGAUCAUUACUGAGUUUACGCUCUACAACCCUUUGUGAACAUACCUAUAACUGUUGCUUCGGCGGGUAGGGUCUCCGCGACCCUCCCGGCCUCCCGCCUCCGGGCGGGUCGGCGCCCGCCGGAGGAUAACCAAACUCUGAUUUAACGACGUUUCUUCUGAGUGGUACAAGCAAAUAAUCAAAACUUUUAACAACGGAUCUCUUGGUUCUGGCAUCGAUGAAGAACGCAGCGAAAUGCGAUAAGUAAUGUGAAUUGCAGAAUUCAGUGAAUCAUCGAAUCUUUGAACGCACAUUGCGCCCGCCAGCAUUCUGGCGGGCAUGCCUGUUCGAGCGUCAUUUCAACCCUCAAGCUCUGCUUGGUGUUGGGGCCCUACAGCUGAUGUAGGCCCUCAAAGGUAGUGGCGGACCCUCCCGGAGCCUCCUUUGCGUAGUAACUUUACGUCUCGCACUGGGAUCCGGAGGGACUCUUGCCGUAAAACCCCCAAUUUUCCAAAGGUUGACCUCGGAUCAGGUAGGAAUACCCGCUGAACUUAAGCAUAUCAAAAG
rnacentral:rRNA from 1 species